UACGUAGGGAGCAAGCGUUGUCCGGAAUCAUUGGGCUUAAAGCGCGCGUAUGUGGCCUCGUAAGUCCGCUGUGAAAGUCAAAGGCUCAACCUUUGAAAGCCGGUGGAUACUGUGGGGCUAGAGUACGGAAGAGGCGAGUGGAAUUCCUGGUGUAGCGGUGGAAUGCGCAGAUAUCAGGAGGAACACCAAUAGCGAAGGCAGCUCGCUGGGACGUUACUGACACUGAGGCGCGACAGCGUGGGGAGCAAACAGG
rnacentral:rRNA from 1 species